rnacentral:rRNA from 1 species
AGAGUUUGAUCCUGGCUCAGAGCGAACGCUGGCGGCAGGCUUAACACAUGCAAGUCGAACGCUCACCUUCGGGUGGGAGUGGCAGACGGGUGAGUAACACGUGGGAACGUGCCCUUCAGUUCGGGACAACUCAGGGAAACUUGAGCUAAUACCGGAUACGCCCUUUGGGGGAAAGAUUUAUUGCUGAAGGAUCGGCCCGCGUCUGAUUAGCUAGUUGGUGAGGUAAUGGCUCACCAAGGCGACGAUCAGUAGCUGGUCUGAGAGGAUGAUCAGCCACACUGGGACUGAGACACGGCCCAGACUCCUACGGGAGGCAGCAGUGGGGAAUAUUGGACAAUGGGCGCAAGCCUGAUCCAGCCAUGCCGCGUGUGUGAUGAAGGCCUUAGGGUUGUAAAGCACUUUCGUCCGGGACGAUAAUGACGGUACCGGAAGAAGAAGCCCCGGCUAACUUCGUGCCAGCAGCCGCGGUAAUACGAAGGGGGCUAGCGUUGCUCGGAAUCACUGGGCGUAAAGGGCGCGUAGGCGGCCAUUCAAGUCAGAGGUGAAAGCCCAAGGCUCAACCUUGGAAUUGCCUUUUGAUACUGUUUGGCUUGAGACCGGAAGAGGUUAGUGGAACUGCGAGUGUAGAGGUGAAAUUCGUAGAUAUUCGCAAGAACACCAGUGGCGAAGGCGGCUAACUGGUCCGGUUCUGCGCUGAGGCGCGAAAGCGUGGGGAGCAAACAGGAUUAGAUACCCUAGUAGUCC